rnacentral:rRNA from 1 species
ACCGGCGACAAGCGGGUUAAUAACCACCUGACCCCAUGCCGAACUCAGAAGUGAAACGCCGUAGCGCCGAUGGUAGUGUGGGGUCUCCCCAUGCGAGAGUAGGGAACUGCCAGGC